rnacentral:rRNA from 1 species
UACGUAGGGCGCAAGCGUUGUCCGGAAUUAUUGGGCGUAAAGAGCUCGUAGGCGGCCUGUUGCGUCCGCUGUGAAAACUCGGGGCUCAACUCCGAGCUUGCAGUCGAUACGGGCAGGCUAGAGUUCGGCAGGGGAGACUGGAAUUCCUGGUGUAGCGGUGAAAUGCGCAGAUAUCAGGAGGAACACCGGUGGCGAAGGCGGGUCUCUGGGCCGAUACUGACGCUGAGGAGCGAAAGCGUGGGGAGCGAACAGG